rnacentral:rRNA from 1 species
CAGCAGCCGCGGUAAUACGGAGGGAGCUAGCGUUGUUCGGAAUUACUAGGCGUAAAGCGCACGUAGGCGGUUAUUCAAGUCAGAGGUGAAAGCCCGGGGCUCAACCCCGGAACUGCCUUUGAAACUAGAUGGCUAGAAUCUUGGAGAGGUCAGUGGAAUUCCGAGUGUAGAGGUGAAAUUCGUAGAUAUUCGGAAGAACACCAGUGGCGAAGGCGACUGACUGGACAAGUAUUGACGCUGAGGUGCGAAAGCGUGGGGAGCAAACAGGAUUAGAUACCCCUGUAGUCCCUGUCUCUUAUAC